GGUUGCUACAAUUACUUUUCUAAUUACUGAAGUUAGUUCUGAAGAGUACAGUUAACUGAAGAGUUGUGCUUCAUUCACCUUCAGCUUCUGACUAAAUGGGCAUUUGGAGUUAAUGGCCGUGCACAUAGGAAACAAAUUAUUCUGGUACACAAGAGCUGCUAGAUGCUGAAAGCUCUUGAUUCUUCUGUCGCAGUUUCCCAGACACAGUAUGUCUGCUACCUGUCAAGCUUCUGAUAGAAGAUUUUCUUGGAAUAUGUCUGCAAAAGCUGCAGUGGAGCUGUAAAAACAGGCUGGAUUGCUUUUAGGUGACAAUUCCAUUGGGGCUGGGAGAUGGACAGUUGUUCACCUGGACUGAUGGACUGAAAAGGAAGGAUUGGCAUGAUUAUG
rnacentral:lncRNA from 1 species